rnacentral:rRNA from 1 species
GACGAACGCUGGCGGCGUGCUUAACACAUGCAAGUCGAACGGAAAGGCCCUGCUUGCAGGGUACUCGAGUGGCGAACGGGUGAGUAACACGUGGGUGAUCUGCCCUGCACUUCGGGAUAAGCCUGGGAAACUGGGUCUAAUACCGGAUAGGAGCCAUUUUUAGUGUGAUGGUUGGAAAGUUUUUUCGGUGUAGGAUGAGCUCGCGGCCUAUCAGCUUGUUGGUGGGGUAAUGGCCUACCAAGGCGGCGACGGGUAGCCGGCCUGCGAGGGUGGACGGCCACAUUGGGACUGAGAGACGGCACAGACUCCUACGGGAGGCAGAAGUGGGGAAUAUUGCACAAUGGGCGCAAGCCUGAUGCAGCGACGCCGCGUGGGGGAUGACGGCCUUCGGGUUGUAAACUCCUUUCGCUAGGGACGAAGCUUUUUGUGACGGUACCUAGAUAAGAAGCACCGGCUAACUACGUG